rnacentral:rRNA from 1 species
UACAGAGGUCCCAAGCGUUGUUCGGAUUCACUGGGCGUAAAGCGUGCGCAGGCGGUUCGUUAAGUUCGACGUGAAAGCCCCGGGCUCAACCUGGGAACUGCAUUGGAAACUGGCGAGCUUGAAUGCGGCAGAGGGGGGUGGAAUUCCGCGUGUAGCAGUGAAAUGCGUAGAGAUGCGGAGGAACACCGAUGGCGAAGGCAGCCCCCUGGGCCGACAUUGACGCUCAGGCACGAAAGCGUGGGGAGCAAACAGG